rnacentral:lncRNA from 1 species
AUUGCAUUUAACAGAAAAAGAGUACUUUGUGGCAAAUAAACCAAGAUUUUUAUAGAAAAUCCACAGCCUUUAAUAAAGAGAUUUUUGUUAUAAAAUUUGAAACAUAGAUUACUCACUUGCUUUUCUAUGAUGUGCUAGUGUUUAUUUUUUACAAAAAGUUCUAACCAACCUGUAAAUUCCAAAAUACCUCGUGCUGAGUCACUAAAGUCGAGCGCACCAUAAAAGGUGUACUUGAAUUGGUCCAUAUUUUUAUUUGUUCUAACCAAUAACUACAUUAAUAAACUUGUUUUAAGGAAAUCAAUGCUAGCACUGCAUGCAAUAAUCCUAUAUCUAU